CAGCCGCCGCGGUAAUACGUAGGUGGCAAGCGUUGUCCGGAAUUAUUGGGCGUAAAGCGCGCGCAGGCGGUUCCUUAAGUCUGAUGUGAAAUCUCGCGGCUCAACCGCGAGCGGCCAUUGGAAACUGGGGAACUUGAGUGCAGGAGAGGGGAGCGGAAUUCCACGUGUAGCGGUGAAAUGCGUAGAGAUGUGGAGGAACACCAGUGGCGAAGGCGGCUCUCUGGCCUGUAACUGACGCUGAGGCGCGAAAGCGUGGGGAGCGAACAGGAUUAGAUACCCUGGUAGUCCACGCCGUAAACGAUGAGUGCUAAGUGUUAGAGGGUAUCCACCCUUUAGUGCUGCAGCAAACGCAUUAAGAACUCCGCCUGGGGAGUACGGCCGCAAGGCUGAAACUUAAAGGAAUUGGCGGG
rnacentral:rRNA from 1 species